UACGGAGGAUCCAAGCGUUGUCCGGAUUUAUUGGGUUUAAAGGGUGCGUAGGCGGGCAGGUAAGUCCGUGGUGAAAUCCCCGAGCUUAACUCGGGAACUGCCAUGGAUACUAUUUGUCUUGAAUAUUGUGGAGGUAAGCGGAAUAUGUCAUGUAGCGGUGAAAUGCUUAGAUAUGACAUAGGACACCAAUUGCGAAGGCAGCUUACUACACAGUUAUUGACGCUGAGGCACGAAAGCGUGGGGAUCAAACAGG
rnacentral:rRNA from 1 species